GCUGGGCAUGGUGGCGGGUGCCUGUAAUCCCAGCUACUAGGGAGGCUGAGGUAGGAGAAUUGCUUGAACCCAGGAGAUGGAGGUUGCAGUGAGCUGAGAUCACGCCACUGCACUCCAGCCUGGGCAACAGAGCAAGACUCUGUCUCAA
rnacentral:SRP_RNA from 1 species